UAUAUUAAAUAAUUUAUCGAAUAAUAAAGUAAUUUUUAGUUAUGUUAUAGAGAAUCUGCCCUAAGGGUAGGGUAAGAAUAAAUAAAAAAAAAAAUGAAAAGGUGCAAUCCAAACCAACUAAAUGCAAUUGAGAUGAUAAUGAAGCAUUUCUCUGUUUUCAUUCUGAAAGGUGGAAGCUAAGACGAAAAAAAGAAUCGACCGUUUAAGUAUUCAAAAUUUUACUAA